rnacentral:rRNA from 1 species
UACAGAGGUCUCAAGCGUUGUUCGGAUUCAUUGGGCGUAAAGGGUGUGUAGGUGGCGCCGUAAGUCGGGUGUGAAAUUUCGGAGCUUAACUCCGAAAACUGCAUUCGAUACUGCCGUGCUUGAGGACUGGAGAGGAGACUGGAAUUUACGGUGUAGCAGUGAAAAUGCGUAGAGAUCGUAAGGAAGACCAGUGGCGAAGGCGGGGUCUCUGGACAGUUUCCUGACACUGAGGCACGAAGGCCCAGGGGGAGCAAAACGGGG